GGGUGGCGCAGUCGGUUAAGCGUCCGACUUCAGCCAGGUCACGAUCUCGCGGUUCGUGAGUUCGAGCCCCACGUCGGGCUCUGGGCUCGGAGCCUGGAGCCUGUUUCCGAUUCUGUGUCUCCCUCUCUCUCUGCCCCUCCCCCGUUCAUGCUCUGUCUCUCUCUGUCCCAAAAAUAAAUAAACGUUGAAAAAAAAAUUAAAAAAAAAAAAAAGAAAAAGAAACACGGGAAAAGAAUAUGCCAACGUGUUACUUCAGAAGUGGGGGGGGGAUGGUUGAUUUUUAUUCGCUCUAUACUUUCAUAACAAUAAUGGCAUCGGCUAUGACAAUCAUAAUUCAAAAUAAAGUCUCUGUGACCAUCUGACAAGGGAUGUAUAUCCAGAGCCGAGAAGAUACCCACAACUUCCGAUCAGUCAUUUCUCUUCCAGGAAUCUGGUCCGAGGAAGUCCUUUUUGCUUUCGGAAAAAGUUCUAGGCAGGACGUUCGCUGCAGGUAGAAACUGGCAAACACCCGAAUUGCCAAACGGGGGCGGAACCACCUUACAGACAGUGUGGUUCAGCCGCUCGAUGCCGCUGUGUAUUCAUGAAGAAAGAAAACUAUGACAAGAGCGUGUACCACAGCUUUAAAUGGAAGGCUCAGGGUUCACACCGAAAUGGAAAGUAGGACUACAACAGGUUUUUAAAAAACGCUGUAGGUUUGGGGAAAAAUAGCCAAGGAUGAGCAGAACGGGCUCGCACAGCGGGGAGGUGGGAGUGUGGGUGAUUGCUUUUCUUGAUUUUCCAACAUUUUCUGUAAUGUGCGUAUCUUGCUUCUAUAACUUCAAAAGCCACGCGAACUAGCUGUUCAUCUGGGAAGCUGGUUCUAAACCACCUACCUCCUCAGCCACAGUCCCCAGGGAAGGCUGGAACGUUGGAGGGGGAGCGAGAGGGGAAGUGUUCGUCCAUGAAAGCCUGGCGACAUCUGAGCAGCUAACCGCGCGGCGGAUUCUGGAUUCUGCACUGAGUAGUGCCUCCGCCUCCGUGAAGCCUCCCUUUGCUGCCCCGUCUGGGCUCUGUGAUGUCCACAGCUCGGAGCUUGAAACGGGUUCGGACCUGACGUGUUCCACCUGAAACCGAGCAGCAUAAGCAUCUGACAGGAACCAAAAAGGAAAAAGGUGGACGCAGAGCACCUGUACCCCCCUUUCCCCAAGACAACCGGGCGCCAGCUGGAGGAACGGGAAGGGACGGAAGGGAAAUGGCUAGGUCACCGAGUCAAUUUCCAAAUACGAGCAACAGAAACACCAACUGGAAGUGCAUUAAGCA
rnacentral:lncRNA from 1 species